rnacentral:rRNA from 1 species
GGCUCAGAUUGAACGCUGGCGGCAUGCCUUACACAUGCAAGUCGAACGGCAGCGGACCUUCGGGUGCCGGCGAGUGGCGAACGGGUGAGUAAUAUAUCGGAACGUACCUUUCAGUGGGGGAUAACGUAGCGAAAGUUACGCUAAUACCGCAUAUUCUGUGAGCAGGAAAGCAGGGGAUCGCAAGACCUUGCGCUGAUUGAGCGGCCGAUAUCAGAUUAGCUAGUUGGUGAGGUAAAGGCUCACCAAGGCGACGAUCUGUAGCGGGUCUGAGAGGAUGAUCCGCCACACUGGAACUGAGACACGGUCCAGACUCCUACGGGAGGCAGCAGUGGGGAAUUUUGGACAAUGGGCGCAAGCCUGAUCCAGCCAUGCCGCGUGAGUGAAGAAGGCCUUCGGGUUGUAAAGCUCUUUCGGCCGGGAAGAAAUCGCACGGGUUAAUACCCUGUGUGGAUGACGGUACCGGAAUAAGAAGCACCGGCUAACUACGUG